UAAAAACAGAACAUUCCUGUGAAUCGCUCCGUCACAUCUAGUGCAGUGUGCUUUUAGCAAUGUGUCGAACCGUGUGCAAAAAAACUUUUGGAAAAUUAAUGCUCGUAAUUGUCUUUUUACUCGUGAUGUUUGUGUUUUGCGGAAGCAUGAAGCAAAUAAUUUUAGAUUUCUCAGAUAUGAAGUGUGAUAUGCCAUGUGGAGAUCCUAAACCUAGGGUACUUUUGAUCAGAGAGCUAGUGGGUUUGGGAAAUAAAAGUCAAACGACUCCUUACAUGGCUAUAUUUCAUAGGUGUGAAGAGUCUGGCUGUUGCAAGACACAAAACGUGUGUUUUCCAUUGGAGAUACAAACGAUAACAAUAAAAUAUUACGACCAUACGAAUAGAGAUGAUACGGUGAAAUUUAAAAAUGUUACAAAUCACACGAACUGUUCCUGUCAAAUACCAAAACGUUAAGCGACACGUCCAAGCGAUGAAUGUACCCGAAUCAGUAUUAUUUUGCUUUUUCAAAGGGGAGAUUGGCCAUAAGACAGAAGAGUGUUCCUGUAAGAACACACCGUGCCGUGUGUCUUAUGUGAAACGAUUUCCUGCGCUGAAAUAAAUGAAUUGAAAGUGAUAUGUGAAUGAAAAAGUAAAUGGAUAUUUCAGAAUAACUGCAAGGAAUCUGCCUAUGACAGUAAAUAUAAAUAACUUUGUAGUUAUUAUGUAUGGUAAUAAUCAGUAAAAACGCGAGAAUACUUGAAA